rnacentral:rRNA from 1 species
GACGAACGUUGGCGGCGUGCUUAAUACAUGCAAGUCAACUGAAGCAGUGGUAGCAAUAUCGCUGUGGAGGUGGCGCACGGGUGAGUAACACGUAGGUAAUCUGCCUUCAGGUCUGGCAUAACUCCGGGAAACCGGGGCUAAUAGCAGAUGAUGCAGCGGCUCGACAUCGAGACAGUUGUUAAAGCUAUGGCGCCUGAAGAUGAGCCUGCGUCUGAUCAGCUAGUUGGCGGGGUAACGGCCCACCAAGGCAACGAUCAGUAGCUGGUCUGAGAGGAUGAUCAGCCACACUGGAACUGAGACACGGUCCAGACUCCUACGGGAGGCAGCAGUAAGGAAUAUUGCUCAAUGGGAGAAAUCCUGAAGCAGCAACGCCGCGUGAGGGACGAAGGGCUUUUGCUUGUAAACCUCUGUAGUGAGAGAAAAAAAUCCCAAUCUUUGGGACAUGAUGGUAUCUCAAAAGUAAGCCCCGGCUAACUACGUG